rnacentral:rRNA from 1 species
UGGGGAAUCUUGGACAAUGGGGGAAACCCUGAUCCAGCCAUGCCGCGUGAUCGAUGAAGGCCUUAGGGUUGUAAAGAUCUUUCAGCUGGGAAGAUAAUGACGGUACCAGCAGAAGAAGCCCCGGCUAACUCCGUGCCAGCAGCCGCGGUAAUACGGAGGGGGCUAGCGUUGUUCGGAAUUACUGGGCGUAAAGCGCACGUAGGCGGAUAGUUAAGUCAGAGGUGAAAUCCCGGGGCUCAACCCCGGAACUGCCUUUGAUACUGGCUGUCUCGAGGUCGAGAGAGGUGAGUGGAAUUCCGAGUGUAGAGGUGAAAUUCGUAGAUAUUCGGAGGAACACCAGUGGCGAAGGCGGCUCACUGGCUCGAUACUGACGCUGAGGUGCGAAAGCGUGGGGAGCAAACA